AACAAAAACUAAUUUAUAAAAUUUUUGUAAAUAUAAACUAAAAACGUAAACGUUAUCAACGCUACCUUAGUAAUUGACUUUUUUAGUGAAUUUUUUUUUUUAAUUUUUUAUGAAAUGAUGCGCAAAGAGUAAAGAUAAUAGAUUGAUUUUUGUAGUGAGUUUUUGGUUAAAACCUCAUCUUCUCAAACGAGGCUUAAGUUGCACCAACUAGGGCUAUAAAUGUCUGAUAUUUAGGUGUUUUUGAUGGUUUAUUUGCUUGGUUUAUUCCUUAUUUCUUCGUGUGGGUCCCA